rnacentral:tRNA from 1 species
GCCUGGGUGGCUCAGUUGGUUGAGCGUCCGACUUCGGCUCAGGUCAUGGUCUCACAGUUUGUGAGUUCAAGCCACACCUCGGGCU